rnacentral:rRNA from 1 species
GACGAACGCUGGCGGCGUGCUUACCACAUGCAAGUCGAACGGAAAGGCCCAGCUUCCGGGGGGUGCUCGCGGGGCGAAGGGGUGAGAAAAACGUGAGCUACCUGCCCUUGUGUCUGGGAUAACUUCUGGAAAAUGGGGCCAAUACCGGCCAGGAGCCUUACCCGCGAGGUGGGGGCUGGAACGUUUCGGCGGUGGGGGAUGGCCUCGAGGCGUUUGAGCUUGCUGGUGGGGUAGUGGCUUACCAAGGCUUUGACGGGUAGCCGGCCGGUGAUGGUGACCGGCCCCAUUGGGGCUGAGAUGCGGCCCAGGCUCCUACUGGAGGCAGCAGUGGGGAAGAUUGCACAAUGGGCGGGAGCCUGAUGCGGCAACGCCGCGUGCCGGAUGACGGCCUGCGAGUUGUAUGCCGCUUUCGCCUGUGACGAAGCGUGAGUGACGGUAAUGGGUAAAGAAGCACCGGCUAACUACGUG